UACGGGGGGGGCAAGCGGUUGUUCGGAAUUACUGGGCGUAAAGCGCGCGUAGGCGGUUACUUAAGUCGGAUGUGAAAGCCCUCGGCUUAACUGAGGAAGUGCACCCGAAACUGAGUAGCUAGAGUACGAAAGAGGGUCGCGGAAUUCCCGGUGUAGAGGUGAAAUUCGUAGAUAUCGGGAGGAACACCAGUGGCGAAGGCGGCGAUCUGGGAAGAUACUGACGCUGAGGUGCGAAAGCGUGGGGAGCAAACAGG
rnacentral:rRNA from 1 species